GGACGCAUAGCUCAGUGGUUAGAGCGCUCGCUUCACACGCGAGAGGCCAUGGGUUCAAAUCCCUUUGCGUCUACCA
rnacentral:tRNA from 1 species